rnacentral:rRNA from 1 species
UACGAAGGGGGCUAGCGUUGUUCGGAAUCACUGGGCGUAAAGGGCGCGCAGGCGGCCAUUCAAGUCGAAUGUGAAAGCCCCCGGCUCAACUGGGGAGGGUCAUUCGAUACUGUUCGACUCGAAGGCAGGAGAGGGAAGUGGAAUUCCCGGUGUAGUGGUGAAAUGCGUAGAUAUCGGGAGGAACACCAGUGGCGAAGGCGACUUCCUGGCCUGUUCUUGACGCUGAGGCGCGAAAGCUAGGGGAGCAAACGGG